CUUGAGCCCGGGAGGCAGAGGUUGCAGUGAGCUGAGAUCACAGCCACUGGGCGACAGAGCGAGACUCCAUCUCAAAAAAGAAACAAAACAAAAAAAAAAGUAAGAUUUCCUGAGACGACCAAGGAGAGUGUCAAGGUUCCUGGAAGGAGAAAUAAAAGGAGGCAUAAGUGGAUUGCAGAUAAUUUUGUAAAAUUCAAUAUUCUACAAGGAUAAUUCUAAGGCUUCUGAUAUAAAUACCCAGUUCUACUAGUUGCCAUAUAUAGAGGUAAGUGAGCAGUAAUAGGACUGUCAUCUCAGCUCACUUGAUACGUCAUAUGUUUGGGUGAAUGAUGGUUUUGUCCUUAAGUUUUAGACAUUUAAUUAUAUCUAGAGGGCCAGGCACAGUGGCUCAUACCUGUAAUCCCAACACUUUGGGAGGCCAAGACAGGCAGAUCACCUGAGGCCAGGAGUUCUUUUUUUUUUUUUUUUUUUUUUGAGACAGAGUCUUGCUCUGUCACCCAGGCUGGAGUGCAGUGGCACGAUCUUAGCUCACUGCAAGCUCUGCCUGCCAGGCUCAUGCCAUUCUCCUGCCUCAGCCUCCCAAAUAGCUGAGACUACAGGUGCCCGCCACCACGCCCAGCUAAUUUUUUUUGUAUUUUUAGUAGAGACGGGGUUUCACUAUGUUAGCCAGGAUGGUCUCGAUCUCCUGACCUUGUGAUCUGCCUGUCUCAGCCUCCCAAAGUGCUGGGAUUACAGGUGUGAGCCACCACACCCGACUGAGGCCAGGAGUUCAAGGCCAGCCUGGCCAACAUGGUGAAACCCGGUCUCCACUAAAAAUACAAGAAAAUUAGCCAGGUGUGGUGGCGGGCACCUGUAAUCCCAGCUACUAAGAAGGCUGAGGCAAGAGAAUCACCUGAACCCAUGAGGUGGAGGUUACAGUGAGCUGAGAUCACGCCACUGCACUCCAUCCUGGGCAACAUAAAUAAAAAUUAUAAAAUAAAUAAAACGUAUUAAACUUGUGAAAAUACUUGGGACUUUUUAUGUAUCUAGGUACUUCAGUUUUUAAAGUUUGAUUUUGUGAGAUGGGUUCUAAUAUGUCCGAUUUCUCUUGCCCUGUUUUACAACUAAUCUAAACAAAACAGUCAUUCUAGUUUAUAUUCUGUCUUCCGAGAAACAUUGAGAAGCAAGCUGUCAGGCUGGUGCUUUUAAUGACAAUGAAAAUUUUCCUUCCUUUGCAUUUCCUUUAACAUUGUUUCCUCUACAAUCAAUCUUUUCUUAUCUUCUGGUUUAUAUGAAACAGACUCUAUAAUGCAGUCAACACAUUGAUUCCUUGACCUAUAUUUUAAGAAAAUUCCUGCUGGGUGCAGUGGCUCACACCUAUAAUCCCAGCACUUUGGGAGGCCGAGGCAGGUAGAUCACUUGAGGUCAGGAAUUUCAGACCAGCCUGACCAGCAUGGUGAAACUCUGUCUCUACUAAAAAUACAGACCUGGUGAUGCACGCCUAUAAUCCCAGCCACUUGAACCCGGGAGGCAGAGGUUGCAGUGAGCCGAGAUUGCAC
rnacentral:lncRNA from 1 species